GGGAAGGAAGCUGGACAGGCUGUAAGCUGCAGUAGAGGAAAGGCAGUGCAGGGAAACAGAGAGAGAUUGCUUGCCCCUUCUCCCCUGCUGGUGGACUGUAAGAAGGAUCCUAUGUGUAGGAUGGAAAGGAGGAGAAACACAACCUGUAAAUAAAAGCACCAGCCGUGGGAAGAUGAAGACUCCAAAGAGAAGCAGAGCUGAGACCGGGAGGGCUGAACUCUGGCCUGGGGACUGAAGUGAGGAGGGUCGAGGCUGUUGGGAUGGGGAGGGGCUGUAUUGAUGGUGGGUUCUGAGCAUAUCAGCUUUUGCAACACAAUGGCACCAAGUUCAUCACGAAGCUUUCCUCUGGAGAUAUGAUCCUUAGCACAGUACUCCUUCCUGCUGACAGCAUGGGCCCCAUAUGUAGACAGGCAUUUCCUCGAAGAAAAUGGAAAGAGCAGUGCCAACGCCUGUAAAUCAAGUGGCUAUACCAUGCUAACAUGAAACAGCUUUUCCAUCCCACAUGCAUUCUUUAAAUGAAAGACACUCUCUUUUCCCUGUCAUCGCCUUUUCUUGUACCAAAUGUAAAACUGUCUAAUUACGGCACAGUGAUGGACAGACAUUACAAGAUACAAAGGGUCGAUAAGUAUCAAAAAGGAGAAAAUGCUUAGCUGAUCUUGAUGUAUGCAAAGCAGUCACCGAGGGAUUGAGCCUGUGAGUAAAGCGACUAUGAGUUGACCCUAACUAAAUAAAAGCUGCUCUUAUACUCCACAUAUUUUAAAUCCAUUUGUUAGUUUCAUUCAGAUUCCUAUGCUACUGCUACCUUUUAAUUUUUUUAAAAAAUGGCUUCAUUAGGUUUAAUAAUGAGUGCAUUACAGGACACUCAUGCUAUCAGACAUUACAUUUCCCUAUUUCCUACCUGGUACAUUUUGAGUUAACUACUGAUACGCUCUAACCAGAUCUGAGUGACUUGCUGGCUGGAGGGGGAGGGGAGAAAGAACAGCCAUGAAUAUAUUCAUUUGAAUCUGAAUUUCUGGUCAGUCAUGUUCAUGAUCCUUUCCCACUCGCCUUCCACAGACAUUUGAGUUUUAUUAGCAUAACUGCAUGUGAAAAGUGAAUGUUUAAUUUAGUCAAUUUGCUAAAAGCAAAUUUUACUAUAUAUAUUUGAUUUUACAAUUAGCAAUUAGAGCCAUGUGGAUUAAUUAUGUAAGUCACAUGGUGCUGUUUCUGUUUCCUAACUGGAUGAUUUAUGUACAUAAUAAACACAGAGUAAUUUGUGAAUAAAGCAACUGAAUUGUUCAUGGAAGAAAUUCACAAAUAAUUUCAACUAACUGUAACACUUCACAAUUUUGCAAUUUUCUCAGACCAUUAAUGAACAAUAAAAAAUGUUGAAAUAC